UACGGAAGGCAGCAGGGGGAAUAUUGCACAAUGGGCGCAAGCCUGAUGCAGCCAUGCCGCGUGUAUGAAGAAGGCCUUCGGGUUGUAAAGUACUUUCAGUCGUGAGGAAGGUGUUAAGGUUAAUAACCUUAGCAAUUGACGUUAGCGACAGAAGAAGCACCGGCUAACUCCGUGCCAGCAGCCGCGGUAAUACGGAGGGUGCGAGCGUUAAUCGGAAUUACUGGGCGUAAAGGGCACGCAGGCGGUUAAUUAAGUUGGAUGUGAAAUCCCCGGGCUUAACCUGGGAAUGGCAUUCAAGACUGGUUAGCUAGAGUCUUGUAGAGGGGGUAGAAUUCCAUGUGUAGCGGUGAAAUGCGUAGAGAUGUGGAGGAAUACCGGUGGCGAAGGCGGCCCCUGGACAAAGGCUGACGCUCAUGUGCGAAAGCGUGGGGAGCAAACAGGGAUUAGAUACC
rnacentral:rRNA from 1 species